UAGCUUGCUAUAAUAUAACUUAGUGGCAGACGGGUGAGUAAUAUAUAGGAAUCUACCUAGUAGUACGGAAUAAUUGUUGGAAACGGCAACUAAUACCGUAUACGCCCUACGGGGAAGAUUUAUUGCUAUUAGAUGAGCCUAUAUUAGAUUAGCUAGUUGGUAGGGUAAGGGCCUACCAAGGCAAUGAUCUAUAGCUGAUCUGAGAGGAUGAUCAGCCACACUGGAACUGAGAUACGGUCCAG
rnacentral:rRNA from 1 species